rnacentral:lncRNA from 13 species
AGGAAGCUAGUUUAGAGAAUGCCAAGAGUGUGCAAAGCUGUCAUCAAGGCAAAGGGUGGCUACUUUGAAGAAUCUCAAAUAUAAAAUAUAUUUGAUUUGUUUAACACUUUUUUUGGUUACUACAUGAUUCCAUAUGUGUUAUUUCACAGUGUUGAGGUCUUCACUAUUAUUCUACAAUGUAGAAAAUAGUACAAAUACAUUAAAACCCUUAAAUGAGUAGUUGUGGAAAAACGUUUGACUGGUACUGUAUCUUAAUUUACAAAGCUAACAGACUGAAUUUGAACAUCUACCCUCCCUAAAAAAAAAUCUGUUCCACUUUUCAUAGCUAUUUCUGAGUCUUUCCCUUUAAAUUGCCAUAGAAACGGUCCCUCGCAACGUUGAUUGGUCGGGGAUAUGAAACCGACGAGGAUAUCUAGUUGAGUUUGAUUGGUCCAAAGACGAAAUAUGGUCUAGAUUUAACAAAUAGCUGUGCGGUCUAAACUAGCAACGGUCACACCACAAACUAACGUUAUGAUUUAAUCAGGUGAUAAUAUUGUAGAGAACAAUUUAAUGGUAUGUAAUGUAUAAUGGCAUAGGCUAAAUAAAACAAAGUAGACAUUCAUUUAGUAGCACCCUCUUGAAUUUACCCAUAUUCCACUACAUUCUAGAGUAAGUACCAUCCCGAAAAAAAUGGGUCCCCGCUGAAAAACUUUGAAAGCCAUUGACAUAAUGCAUUUGCCAACCUUACUUUGUUACAGAAACGUUGUGUUUUAACGCCCAGAGAAUCCAGUGUAGCUCUACUGGAAAAGCCAGCCGACUUCACCACAACACAUGUCCCUGUGCUGCUUCACUCGUGACAAGUACAGCGACAUGUGCAUAUCAACUCUAAUGAUGCGGAGACACGGGCACUGAACUAACUACAUGGCAAUUCUGUUGAAUAAAUACCUAUUUUACACUGCAGAGAGAAGACGACGGACGCACAGGGAUGUGAAGGGUUCCAGAGACGAAUGAUGGAGGAACGAUGUGCCAAGU